AGUAACUGCGAGUGAAGCGGGAAAAGCUCAAAUUUAAAAUCUGGCGGCCUUUGGUCGUUCGAGUUGUAAUUUAGAGAAGCGUCUUCCGCGCUGGACCGUGCACAAGUCUCCUGGAAUGGAGCGUCAUAGAGGGUGAGAAUCCCGUCUUUGGCACGGAUGCACCAGGGCUUUCGUGAUGCGCUCUCGAAGAGUCGAGUUGUUUGGGAAUGCAGCUCAAAAUGGGUGGUGAACUCCAUCUAAAGCUAAAUAUUGGCGAGAGACCGAUAGCGAACAAGUACCGUGAGGGAAAGAUGAAAAGCACUUUGGAAAGAGAGUGAAACAGUACGUGAAAUUGUUGAAAGGGAAACGCUUGAAGUCAGUCGCGUCGACCGAGACUCAGCCUCGCCUUGGCUUGGUGUACUUCUCGGCCGACGGGUCAGCGUCAAUUUUGGCCUUCGGAUAAUGGCAGGGGAAAGGUAGCACCUUUACGGGUGUGUUAYAGUCUCUUGUCGCAUGCGAGGGUCAGG
rnacentral:rRNA from 1 species